rnacentral:rRNA from 1 species
UAAUACGGAGGGUGCAAGCGUUGUUCGGAAUUAUUGGGCGUAAAGGGCGCGUAGGCGGUAAUGUAAGUCAGAUGUGAAAUACUCCGGCUCAACCAGAGAACAGCAUCUGAAACUGCAUAACUAGAGUACAGAAGAGGGAAACGGAAUUCCCGGUGUAGAGGUGAAAUUCGUAGAUAUCGGGAGGAACACCAGUGGCGAAGGCGGUUUCCUGGUCUGAUACUGACGCUGAGGCGCGAAAGCGUGGGGAGCAAACAGG